UGCACUCCAGCCUGAGUGACAGAGCAAGACUCCCUCUCAAAAAAAAAAAAAAGGAAAAAAGUUUCAGUUCACCAGGAAGGUGAAGCAGUUGUAAAUGUAUAUGCACUUAACAACAUAGCUUUGUAUUUCAAAUACAAAAUCAAAAUGGACAAAAUUAUAAGAAGAAUUAGACAAAUUCACCAUUAUAUUAAUAUAGUAAUGAUAGCUGGCAUUUGUGUAGCAUUGACAAUAAGGCAGACUGAGCAGUUUCCAGUUCUGUUGUCUAUUGAAUCUAAGAUGCCAUCAAUUGUAAGAUUCACCAUUAAUAUUUGAACCACUGGGGAAAAAAGGAAAGUGUCACUUAGCUAUGCCUCAUUAUCAACUGUAAGACACAUCUAAAUGUCAGAGCUGUUAAAGUGCACUUGUGUGUGUGGAGAGAGAAAGACAGAGAGAGAAAGCAAACAUGGUGAAGCAUUAAUAGUGAUUCUAGAUGAAGGUUGUCUGGGCAUUAAAUUUUUCUAAAGGUUUAAAGUUUUCAAAAUAAAAGUUGGGGAAAAUUGUAAUGAAUAUAUAAAAGCUUACAAAUAGUCAUCAUUUGAACAUGUAUUCAGUCCCCAUAUGUGUUCAAAACACACAGCAUUUUCUGAAAAUGAGCUGAUAAUGGGUCUUUGUCUCAGAAAAAGAAAUCUGUUUGGGAAUCUCACUUUCAUUUUGCUACUCAACCUUAGAAGCGGUCUUGUUUCAGGAUCUUUCUGUCUGAUAGGGAACAUUUCCACUCCAGUCUGAAAGGGAGGGUGUUACGGGGUGACAUCUGUAGGAGGCGACACUGGCCGUGCUGAGCAGUGGUCCCCAAACAGCCAGGAACUGCUGAGCACCAUGUUAGGGUGUGCAGGGUCCAGACCAGCUGAUACAUGAGAUGGGCUGAGCCUGUGUCCCUCACCAGCCUUUGCGGGGUCUACUUGGAGAGAUGCAGAGAACAGUAGGGCUGAUGGCAUUCACACAGCACCACAAGGAUGCUGGUGAGGACACUGGGGAAUCAGCACCUGCUUGGUCCCUUUUUAUUUGCAUUCCUGAAACAGGCACUCAGAGGACUUUUCUCACCAGGAGAGUUUCUCUUUCCAUAUCACAGAACCAUGUGAAGACUCCCUGAGGGGAAGACAGUGUAAGCCAGCCUCUCCCCCUUCCACCCUUCCCCCUCACUCUUUCUGGCUGCCUCGCCUUGUUGAAAAGAUCUCACUUUCUCGUGGGGCUCCUGCUCCUCCCCUAACAUACCUCCCACACCCAGCCCCAGACUGGUUUAGCCUCCGGGGCACCUUUGUUCCUUCCUCUCACAACUAUGGGUCUCAACCGUAGCUGCACACUGUGGCCACCAGGAGAGCUUUAGAAAUGUGGAUGCCCAGGCCUUACCAUGACCAAUGAAUUUCAGCUCUCUGGGGAGAGAUUCUUGCAUCAGCAAUUUUUAAAGCUCCUAGGUGAUACCAGCGUGCAGUCAAGGUGGAGAACAGCUGCCGUAGCAGAGCAGCAGACUCUGUUGCCUUCUUGGACAGCACACUUGCAUGAAGCAAGCUGCCAUAUUGAAGAGGUCACAUGGCUAGGACCUGAGGGUGCCUCCAGCCAACAACGAACACGGGGUCCUCCAUCCAACAACGACAGGCAUGAGGCACUGUUCUAAAAACAAGAGGCUGGAGCUCAAGGUGGACUUUCAGCGAUUCCCUGCUCCUCAUCCAGGGAGCUGCCAAUCAGGCCUCUCUGGCAUCGAUUUUUCCACUUCUCAGAAACACUUUGGCCCACAAAUUCCCAAGGGAACCUUGCUCUUCAUUCUGGAAAACACGAUGCCAACAUAUCAGAAUAAAGGACAGAUAGGAGCUUCUGCUUCAGAGUGAAUCACUUCAUGGAUGUUAAAGUGUCCUGGAAGAUUCUAAACUUCACAACUUUUGAGAGUAACUGUACUCUGUUUGCAAUAUAUUUGCAUAUAUUAAUUGUUAUAUCUGAAAAGCAUGAGAUUGUUGUUUUUAAAAUUAUAUGAAGUAAGUUAAUAUUUUAUUACUAGGUAUAAGAACUGCUAACGUGGACAACUGCUGAUGAGGACAUCUAUAGAAGUAGAAAAUUCUAAAUGUCCUACCGUCACCAAUAAGAAACUUUGACGGUCAAGUAGAUACAAUACAAUCACAUGGAAAAUUGUAUAAAGUAUAUUGUUUGUGAAGAUCCCAUGAAAAGAACAGAGACUGUAGGAAAUAUAAUCAUCUAAGCUACGGGUAAGAAGAACAUCAAGAUUCUUUAAAGUAAUAGCUCUCAAAGUGGAAGCACCAGCAGCAUCAGCACCACGUGGAAGCUUAGGAAUGCAACUCUCCAGCCCCACCUCAGACCUACUGGCUCAACAACUGUGAGGGAGAGGAGGAGAAAAGUACCCCAUUGCAGUAGAGAUAAGUGGAUCUGAAACCCCAAUGGCAGCUGAAGAGGUUCUUUAUGACACCUGGAACCUGCACUCCAGUUGCCCUUGCACGUCUGUGGUUUAACGGUCCCAGAGACAAAUCUGCCACUUCUGGCUCGCAUCCAACCAAAGUGCAGGUGUUCAUCAUUAGGAGAUGUUGGCUGAUAAACACAGACACGUAAGAAAGAUUCAAAAGGUCGUGGAUGGAUCACCAAUAACACCAGUAUAUGCAAGAUCAGAGGACAGUGUGUGAUCCAGGCCCUAGGACUGACAAAUCGGGACUCAGUGCCUGCUUGGGAUGAUGUUUUAUUUUGACUUUUUUCUGAAACAGUAGAGAAGUUUCCCAAAUAAUCACAAGGAGAUAAGAAAGUGUUUACACUUGUUGCAGUUGCUCUUCACUGCCUCCCUAUGACCAACACUCACAAUUCUAUGGUCUUAGCAGUUGCACUGAGAAGUCAGAAGAACCUGCUAUUGUGGGUUCAUAACAUUUUAUUACCUCUCACUGAGAAACAACGUAUACUACUAAACAAGACAUCAGUUAUGACGCUCAAGAUUUUAAGUGCUUUUUGAACUAAAAACAAACAAAAAAAUUGUGACCUGCAUAAAAUGUAAAUGGUUUAUCUUCAAGUCAAAAGCCACAGGUUUACCUCUGCAGCUUUACUCUUUCCUAAACGUUGCUUUCGUGUAUUGCAAAUAUUGCUUUCGUGUAUUGCUUAUGUACACUUUCUGCAUGCCAAAAAGUAUAUAGAGAAUAACAGCUUACUCUAAGUCCUCCAGAUGAGUUACUACCUUUACUAUGUUUCAUUCUAAUUACAUGUGUCAUUGCUUAUUAAUAUAUGGGACUUCAUGAGGACAGGUAAUGUUACUAAAUGAAUUGUGUACCCCCAAAAUUCACAUGUUGAAACCCUAAUCCCCAAUGUGACUGUGUGUGAAGUAGGGCCUACAGCAGGUAAUUAAGGUUAAAUUAGGUCAUAAGGGUGGGGCCCUGAAUCGAUGAGAUUAGUGUCCUUAUAGGAAGAAACAGCAGAGAGAGAGAGCUUGUUCUCUCCACCAUAUGAGGACACAGUAAGAAUGUAGCCAUCUGUGAGCAGGAAGAGCGGCCUCAUCGGGAACCAAAUGAGCCAGAACCUUAAUCUUGGACUUCUCACCCUGCAGAACUGUGAGAAAAUAAAUUUCUGUUGUUUAAGCCACAUAGUCUGUAGUAUUUUGUUACUGCGGCCUGAGCAGACUAAUACAGAUACCAUGUCUAUAUUGUUCAUUGUCCUAU